rnacentral:ribozyme from 13 species
AAAAAUGAAAAGAAUAGUGGAAUGGGAAACAACACCAAAUCCAAACAUUUCCAUCUCUCUUCCUCCUCCUCCUCUCUCUCUCUCUUCUUCUUCUCUUUCUUCUUCUC